rnacentral:rRNA from 1 species
AACGCGAAGAACCUUACCUACUCUUGACAUCCAGAGAACUUAGCAGAGAUGCUUUGGUGCCUUCGGGAACUCUGAGACAGGUGCUGCAUGGCUGUCGUCAGCUCAUGUUGUGAAAUGUUGGGUUAAGUCCCGCAACGAGCGCAACCCUUAUCCUUUGUUGCCAGCGAUUAGGUCGGGAACUCAAAGGAGACUGCCAGUGAUAAACUGGAGGAAGGUGGGGAUGACGUCAAGUCAUCAUGGCCCUUACGAGUAGGGCUACACACGUGCUACAAUGGCAUAUACAAAGAGAAGCGACCUCGCGAGAGCAAGCGGACCUCAUAAAGUAUGUCGUAGUCCGGAUUGGAGUCUGCAACUCGACUCCAUGAAGUCGGAAUCGCUAGUAAUCGUGGAUCAGAAUGCCACGGUGAAUUCCCGGGUCUUGUACACACCG